rnacentral:lncRNA from 1 species
ACAAGAUAACAAGACCUUCAAGCAAACUGUAUAUUAUUUCAAGUCAAGGAAACGCCAAACUUCUCCUUUUUACUUUUCAAGGACAUAAUCCAAUGGCAAUAAGCACUGGAUAUGGGCAAUAUACAAUUCCCGCAAAAUAGAUAAUAUAAUUAUCAGGUUCAUAGAUGUUCCAGUCUGAUCUCUUAUUAUGAGGAAAUUAGAUUGUGUGAAAUGACACUGUUGCUCAGUCCAGCUGAUUCAUGGAGAAAAACCGAAAUACAAGUUAUAUACAUAUUCCAAAAAAUAAACAUAUUUAAUCGAAGUGGGAAAACAUGAUCACUUUACCAAAUACUUUGUUCACCCACGGUUUGUUUGGAAGAUUUUUUCUAAGUGAAGAAUGAAUUUUUUUGGAGAAUGUUUGGUUAAUUAGUAGUGAAAUAAUGGGUAUCGGAGAAAGUGGGGUUGUGAAAAUAAUUUUGGGAAAAAAUGAUUUUAAAAAAUCUCUCCAAACGUACUCUUAAUAAGGAGAUGGAAAGGAAAUAAGCAAUUAAGAGAGGAGUAAGUAAGAAAAAGGAGGACUAACAGCCACCUUAUUACAUUGAGAAUACAUUCACCAUUGACUUGAAAGAAGUAACAUAAAGAAAUAACAGUAAGAGAGUAGAAAAGGGUGUGUUCCACUUGUGGUUUCCAUUGAAGACUUGCAACAGUAGCCACAAUCUCCACUGGGCGGGAGAAGAGCUAUGUGGUUAUAAAUUCAGAUAGGGUGGAGAGUUUGAAUUAGGUAAGGUAGUUAUUUAAAUUGAUCGAGUGAGAUGAGGGUUCUUCCAAUAGAGAAAGGAAGGUUAUAUAUAACAUCAAGCAAACAAAUGAACCGACCAAUUACAAACAGAAAUGUCAGGGAACUCUUCUUAAAUUUAUAUAAAUGAAAGAUCAAAUAAUUUUCUAGGGAAGCUUUUCAUUUUUCAAUCUAGAAAUGUGAGUAAAACCAUUCAUCUUCUCAGAUCUCUCUUAUAAAUGUUUUGAACAGAUUAAUUUAGAAUCUUUUUACCAACCGGUCAACAUACUUUUUUCAAUUUCUUUAUGUUUUUAACUCCUGCUCAUGCCACCAGCCAACCAGGACAACCCAAGAGUGCAUCCUGCUUCCUUAUGGUCCUUGAAGAGUUAAAAUCUGCAACAUUAAACUUAGUCAUAUUCGCAAUAAACUUGGGGUCAACUACGUGAAUAAUUUUUGGCUCUCCAUUGGAUUGAGUACCGCAUCUACUGGAAGCUUUAAAUAUAUUAAAUAUCUGCAACCAAAUCGGGUUAUAUCAAUUUUAUUCCAUAUCUCCAUCUUCUAAUCUGUUGUACUAGGAUAAUGAAACUCUUUGGAAUGAAAAUUUCUUUAGGCAUAUGCAAGACAUGUCCCAACUACAUAAAUCAUCCUUUCUGUGAUUUUUCAUCUGACGAUGCUACAUCAACACGUUGAUGUACAUCCUUAUUUCUU